rnacentral:rRNA from 1 species
UACGAAGGGGGCUAGCGUUGCUCGGAAUCACUGGGCGUAAAGCGCACGUAGGCGGGUCGUUAAGUCAGGGGUGAAAUCCUGGAGCUCAACUCCAGAACUGCCCUUGAUACUGGCGAUCUCGAGUUCGGGAGAGGUGAGUGGAACUGCGAGUGUAGAGGUGAAAUUCGUAGAUAUUCGCAAGAACACCAGUGGCGAAGGCGCUCACUGGCCCGAUACUGACGCUGAGGUGCAAAGCGUGGGG